CCUACGGGAGGCAGCAGUGAGGAAUAUUGGUCAAUGGGCGGGAGCCUGAACCAGCCAAGUCGCGUGAGGGAAGACGGUCCUAUGGAUUGUAAACCUCUUUAGGCGGGGAGCAAUGCCGGGCACGCGUGCCCGGAGGGAGAGUACCCGCAGAAUAAGCAUCGGCUAACUCCGUGCCAGCAGCCGCGGUAAUACGGAGGAUGCGAGCGUUAUCCGGAUUUAGUGGGUUUAAAGGGUGCGUAGGCGGAUUUUUAAGUCAGCGGUAAAAUGUCCGGGCUCAACCCGGGCCGGCCGUUGAAACUGGGGAUCUUGAGUGGGCGAGAAGUAUGCGGAAUGCGUGGUGUAGCGGUGAAAUGCAUAGAUAUCACGAAGAACUCCGAUUGCGAAGGCAGCAUACCGGCACCCGACUGACGCUGAGGCACGAAAGCGUGGGGAUCGAACAGGAUUAGAUACCCUAGUAGUC
rnacentral:rRNA from 1 species